rnacentral:rRNA from 1 species
AGGGCCGCGGCCGAGGACCCCAAGGCCCAGCCGCCCCCGCACGUCCUCGUCACUUACCUCAACGGUGCCGAGGAGGCCUUCGUCGCCGCCGACGGCGCCACUGCGCAGGGCAUGCGCGACCAGAUCCUCGCCUGCGGCCGCCUCCUCGAGACCGAGCAGCUCUUCCGCGAGGCCGGGGAGAAGUGGCCCGUCGUCAUCCCCGAGGAGGAGCUCGGCAUGCCAUUCCCCAGUAUCAAGGUGCCUCUUCUACUCUGUUCCGUUAACUUCACUUUCUGUCGAACAUCUUGCGUGCGUGCCUUGGCGUAUCUCACUGCCUUGCGCUGA